UACGGGGGGGGCAAGCGUUGUUCGGAAUUACUGGGCGUAAAGGGCUCGUAGGUGGCCAACUAAGUCAGACGUGAAAUCCCUCGGCUUAACCGAGGAACUGCCCUCCAAACUGUUUGGCUUGAGACCGGGAGAGGUGAGUGGAAUUCCCAGUGUAGCGGUGAAAUGCGUAGAUAUUGGGAGGAACACCAGUGGCGAAGGCGGCUCACUGGACCGGUACUGACGCUGAGGCGCGAAAGCGUGGGGAGCAAACAGG
rnacentral:rRNA from 1 species